UGAAGAGUUAAAAUUGUAUAUGUGCAGGUGUAAAAAGUUAAGCUUAAGCUUACAGGUUUAAACCUUGCUGGUACAGCUGUAAAAAAAUAAGACAGAGUAGCACCUUGGCAGUAGGGACUCCAUUUUGGAGCACUUGAGACUGCAUUCUGGGAAAGCACCCCCCACUGUGAGACUCUGGUCUGAAACUAUGAUCUCAAAUAGUCGGACAAUAGCAGUGCACUACAUCACCCUUGGCAAUGCACAAAAACCCCCUAGCAUGACUGCUCAAGCUUAAAAGUAGAAAGGUUGCACCUGGGUUACCUGGGCUAAUAAUAAAGAUGUGAUUUGUCUGUGUCUUACAUUAAUGUCAAGUCCUAAUUGCUGAUUGUAAUAUUGUAACUGGUAUUGUCAAGAUUAUGAUAAAUAUUAAUUUCAAUUAGGUUUUAGGUUAUGUUGACCCCAGUAACCAUAUACUCUUUUGAUUUUAUGUACUCUCUUUUGAUUUUAGCAACUGUGUAUAGCAACCGUGCAUAGCAACCGUGUAUUCCCCCCUUCCCGGUUUUGUGGUUUUUGCCUUUAUAAACCCUAACCUUUGGUUAUUCGGGGCUGCUCUGUUCAUGUAUGAUCAGACAGCCCCAGCAUGCUGGAUAAUCAAUAAAGCUUCCCCUUGCUGUUUGCAUAAGAGAUGUCUCUUGGUGACGUUUUUCGGGCAGUCGACUCUAACAUUUGGAGGCCCCAGCGAGAUCUGACUGCUGCCUGCGGACGUCUCCAACAGAUAUCUCUCGGGGUAAGUGCAGGCGCCUAUUUGUGUUGUCGGCCGGCUUAUUUGUGGUUUGUGUCUCUUCAUUCUGGAUUUUGGUAGUUUGUGAGCGCUCUAGGGUUUUGGGAACUGUGCUGGUGUAGUAGCUGCUGGGACAGGGCGUGAGCCCUUCCUGGCUGUGGCCGGCAGACGUGCCCGGGGGCCACAGGCUACGGCCCUGAGGGACGCCUCAGGAGGACAAAGGAAGGCUGGGGACGCCCAGAUACUUCCGACGGGGCAGGCGUGGAGUCUGCAUUCCCAGCACAGACGGGGUGGCCGGUAAGGCCUUCUUAUUAUUAGUCUUUUGUAGUUGUAAGGUGCUUUGUUGGUUGUCUUGUUGUUUGUUGAUUGUAUUCUCUUGUCAUUUAGCAUUGUAUGGGGCGCUGUGAUGGCUCCCGUUUGGUAGAUUUGGAAUCUGCAUUUGUAUUGCCAGCAUUGUCGCGUGACUCUGAAGUGGUUCUGGAGUCUGCAUUUGUAGGUUCUGAAGUGGUUCCGGAGCUUGCAUUUGUAUUACCGGCGUCCUCACAGGGCUCUGAGGCGGUUCCAGAGUCUGUGUUUGUAUUGCCAGCAUCGUCGUGACCAGUAGUUUAUCUCAGUUCCUCUACGGACACUUUGUGUGGUUGUUGUGUGCUGAUUCUCUACACUGUUUGUCUGUUCGUGUACAUUGUGUUGUCUGCUAACAUGGGCCAGACUGUGUCUACACCUUUGUCUCUAACUUUGAAUCAUUGGUCGGAGGUAAGCGACCGGGCACAUAACCUUUCUUUGUCAGUCAAGAAGGUAAAGUGGCAGUCUUUCUGUGCCUCUGAAUGGCCCCCCGGAGGGCUCUCCAUUUACCACUCAUUCGCCAAGUGAAAGAGGCCGUUCUCCUGCCUGGCCGUCAUGGGCACCCAGACCGGGAUUUUGAGAAAACAUCGGAGAAGGGAAGUUACUACUGUUCUGCAGGACUCUCCACUGUGACGUACGGUUUGAUCCCCAGACCUUAUUUAAGGGAUGACUGACCUUUUCUGUAAUAAUGCCUGGCCAUAGUAUAGGGCCCCAAACAACAUAAAAAAAAAAGGGGGGGGGGUUAAACUACUAGAUCAAUUUUUCAGUGUACGCGUUAAAUGGGCAGAACUCCCCUUUUAAACCAAACUAAAAAAUAGAUAAAAAGUUAAACUGAGGACCUCAAAGUAUGCAAGCAGGUCACCACAGUUGAUCUUACCUAAAGGGUCAUAGUUCUCCUCAUGGGCACAGUCUUAACUCGCAGGAAAAUACUAAGUGUCAGAAUUUGCCCAUGACCAUAAUUUUUCUAGCUCACCCUGAUAUUUAAAAAAAAUCUCCAAAAAUCAGGGAUGGGUUGAGCACCCCCUUGACUGACAUCAUAGAGGCUGCCUCCUUGUCUACUUUAUUAGAGACCAGAAAAAUGAGGAGCAAGCUAGCAAGGAUAGGCAACAGACCAAUCAAUGGCUGCUUUACACGGUGAUUGCCAUCAAGGAGACCCAGCAAGGCCAGUGCACCCCAAAUGGCACCUGUUGCUAAUAUGAGGAGCCAGGGCACUGGGCAAGCAGCUGUCGUGACAGCAAAUGCCUUCUGUUAGCCUUGCCAAGAGCACGGCCACUGGACACGGAACUGCCCUGGGUGUCGAAGGACUCCUGGUUCAGAACUACAGACCCUGUGGCCCCGAGCUAAAAAGCCUUUGGCUCUGCCCAGCCUCUGCCCAGCUUCCAGCUCCAGCCACUGCUACUGGGGAUGGCUUAGGGUCAGUAAAAUGUAAGUUGCCUAUUUCUAUCAGCCUCCUAUUUAACUCUCCUAGUCCAGCCAUGUAAUGCGAGUCAACAGGGUGCCUCCCUUAAAGGAGAUUUGCAUCUCUUAACAAUUUUCUUAACAGCACCCCAUGGAUAGGUCUGGGCCUCACACACCCUGCCAGGCCUUAAAAGCCUAUCCAAUAGUAUUAAACUUAAAAAGCCCUCCCUGCCAGUUCCAGGGGAAAGUGGUCCCCUCCACUCCUGUACUGAGACUAUAGAUGCUUCUCUUUACACCGUGUGUUUUUAAUGCCCUUAUUUGUUUUGUCUCUAACAGACUAAAAGCUGCUAACUCCAAAUGGUCAUCAGGCAAGACUUCCAGCCCAUUCCACUGGACUACCUGAGCAGCCCUCUGGACCGAGCAGUACAGUCUUUCCAAGGCCACUGUUGCACACCAUAAGACAGGUAGCAAGAGGAAAUACCCAAAUCCCCCUCGACGCCCACAUGCCAGCUUCGAAGAAGUUACAGAAAACAGAACUCCAUCCAUAAUCCCAAAGAAGAAUUUUGGGUAUUACCUCUUGAGGGAAAAAUAUUAGGCAGAAAGUCAGUUAUGAGCUUAUGUGUGUGUGACAUAAAGGCCUAAUGUGUCCAGCAUAUGCAUCUACAUCUCAGUCAUCCUGACAAUGUUUCACGGGCAGCCUGGCCUUUGCAUCCUGCCCUGCCCCCUUCUACCUGAUAACCUGCCAGGUGGAGAUGCCCGCCCCUUCUGCCUGACAAAUCUUCCACAAUCUCCCAGAUGCAGCCCAGUAUCUGCAUUUCAGUAUUACAGAACAGGCGGGGGUUAAAUCUCAUUUUCAUGGGGGUGGGUUAUG